GAAGGGGGACAGAAACUUCUGGGGGCCGUGGCUGCCCUGGGACUGUGGUGGGGCCAGAGAUCCCUGUGGGACCUGGGGCUGCAUUGCAGGGCUGUACAUGGGGAGGGCUGUGGUUACCCCCAAAGGAUCUGGGGAUGCCCCUGGGAUGUGCUGGGGUGGGGGUGAUGUCUAGGAGAUACUGAUUCCUCCUUGCUUUCCUUCACAGCACUCCAAGGAACUCCUGAAAAAGAUCACGGACAUGUCCAAGGCAUCAAUGAGCAGCCGCCCCGAGCCUGGCUAUGAGAACAUGGAUCACUUCUCCAUCAAUGUGGACUACGUGGCCGAGAUGCUGAGGACCAUCGAGUUCCAGACAGAGCCGCUGGGUGAGGAUGAGGGUGAUGGACCCGGGGAGGGCAGCGAGGCUGCGACGGAGGAGGAUCGGCUGGACAGCCUGGAGGCACCUGAAGCUGCUGAGGAUGUGGGGCCGAGGCAGAAGCCAGCGAGUUCCCCCCAUGGUCAGCACUGAGGUGACACCGUGGGGCAAUGUUGGCAACCCCCAGCUAUGGCUGUCCCUGUCACUCCCUGGCUAUGGCCAUCCCUGGCACCCCUGGCUCAUGGCCAUCCCUGGCACUCCCAGUCGAGUUCCAUCCCUGCUGCUGGAAUUUCUCAAAUGGGGGCUGCCCCUCUCCAACAUUAAAUGUGUGUAAGGACAUCAUCUCUGGUGCAGUGUGUGGGUGGGGUGGGCACAGAGGCUGCCGGUGGGUGGGCC
rnacentral:lncRNA from 1 species